rnacentral:misc_RNA from 1 species
GUUUUUUCUUCACCAAAAUAUCUUUGUACUGAGGAUCACUAUUUGGCCAAAACCAUAACAUGUCAUUCUGCACAAUACUAGGAUAAACAGCAACACAUGCCCUUUUGGAUGUGUGAACCGGAGGGCCGUCGGGGGGCGCCUGAGGGAUGAACUUACAAUCACCAGAACCAUUGAAACACCAGCCAUGAUAAACACAUUGCAAUCUCCCCCACUGA